CGCAGCCAGAUCAUGCCGAUGAUGGCCAGGGCCACGCAGAGCCAGUUGAAGAAGCUGAAGAAGUUGAUGACGGAGAAGAUGUCCUUGGAGAAGGCGUAGAGCAGCGUCAUCACACACUGGAAGAGAGAGGCGGCUGGCUGAGCCCUGGGGCCCACGAGCAGGGCUGUGGACGGCCGUGGUGGCCACCGGGGACUGUCCAGCCUGGCUGGGCCCAGCUGAGCACCAGGGAAUUUUGUUUUAAAGGAGAAACCUCAUCUGAGCAACAUGCAAGAACACUACAUUUUGGAGUGAUGUGUGACACAGCCAGAGGGAACAAAGGCAGUCACGCGGGCUGGCACGGAAAGAUGCAGGAGAAGCGGAAGGAAACUGUGUGUGAUGCACCCCGCUGAGAAACGAACAGAGUGGGCGCCCACGGAGGUGCAGUGAGCCAGGCGGCUGGCAGAGCAGCACCCCGGGUCAGCUUCUGCCUCCCGCAUUUCCGAUGGUCUGAAUCGUUUGUGGCAGCCACCAUAUAUUAUUUUU
ensembl:lncRNA novel transcript, antisense to SLC7A5